AUUAAAACAGAAUGUGAUAAUUUACACUUUGUUCAUUAAAUUGUUAAAUGCUUAUCAUAACAUCAACAUAGGGUUUGUAAGCGGUUGAUCAACGAGAUGGUUUACAUCACCACUGAGGCGAUCAUAUUGACUGUUUAGAAUUACCAAUGAAUAAUUAUUUCGAAGACUUGUUUAUUACUUAAGAAUCGCUUAGACGCGGUGUAUGCCAUACCACUUGCACUGCUAACAUCAACUGUGAACGUGUUGGCCUCAUAUUGACACUUCUGAGCGAUCGAAUACAUCUACCACAUGUAUUAAACAAACAAGUGAGACUACUGUAAUGAUUGACUUCAAAAUGUGAUUAUUUGUUUAUUAUAUAUUCGUACGUUUACAACGGAGCAUAAUCUUGUAUGUGAUAAAAACGAUAAAGUAAUAUUGUACACGGUCACAUAUUAUGAAAAAAUCGAAAAUGCACAUUCACUCAGUGAGAUACGUUUUGUUACUCAACACAUUGUUGGAAAUUACUUAAUUGCUGAAAUAAAUGUUAUAAAUGAUGUUAAAGAGUGCAUUCAUUAAACUUUGAAAUUAGUACAAUUUGUGAGGAGUGUUGUACACUUCUCGAACGGGCCACGAAAGAUAUUCGACAGUUAAAUUAAAUUUUAUCAAUUGUGCCAAUGUGUUCCGAUUCAUCCGAUACAUCGUUCGUCUACUCUGUCGCUCUUUCAAGUUCUUACGACCUCGAAGGGGUAAAUAAUUUACGUUAGGUCGAGUUGCCAAGAAGUCUGUAUGUAUUAAUAAUGUGUAUUUGCGCAGAUAUUAAAUUGCGGCAUUGAGUAUAACAAUUUUAUGUAUUACUAUGAUAUUAUAUUCCUAUGAUAUAGUAGCUGUUAUAGAAAGUAUAGUAAUCGGUGUCGUAAACUCCUGUCUUCUCUUACUUAAUUUGUUUUUUUGAUGUUUAAAUUAAUUUUUACGUUGAUUCUAAUCCGUUUUGUUUAACUAAAGUUGUACUGUUACUUCUAUUAGAUUAAUAUUGUUUUGUAAUUCUAUCUACAAUCCGCCACUGACUCACCUUAUCCACUAGCUUAUAGCGCUUUGCAAUCAAGAUCAGUCAGAAUCAAAAUGUAACCAAUUCGAUAACUCUACAACACUAACAUUCCAAAUCAUCUCUGCCUCCGUUAGUUAAAAAACGCAUCAAUCGAGAAAUAACAGAUAAAGAAGUGAUUUAGUAAAUGGAAGCUGUUCAAAAUCCUAUUCAUGUUAGUAGAGAGAAGAUUUAUUCUGCCCGCGUUAAUAUAUAAGUAUAUUCUUGAUGAAAAAAUGUUAAGAUGUGUCUUUUUAACCAGCGGGGACAGAAAAUUUAGCGGUGCAAGAAACGGGUUUUUUCCUUCACUAGCGUGCUUGUUACCGGAAACACGUGAAUUGAGAGAAUGUUCCGUGUUCAAUGGCGUUAUCUUAAAUAUCGGUUUCAUGUAUCGAAACUAUGACGAAAGCGUUAUCCACGCAUCUUGAACUACGAUUUGUUAAAUGUUUACUUCAUUAUUUUAUGUCAAUGCAUGUUUCGAUUUCAAGUGUAGGUAACUGAGUGUCGUGUCAUCGUUAUAAUAAGUGUUGUAACAGUUUAAACUACCUGUGUCUCCUGAAUAGGAAAUGUAUCAAUAAUAUCUCCAUGAAACGAAUGCAUUUAGGACAAGUCAAUUCAAGCUCUUUAUUUUGAAGCAAAAUCAUGAUAACAUAGUUUAUCCAAUAUAUUGGAGAAAUUAUUGAGACAGCAAUAGAUUAAUGCUCUCUUACUGAAAUAUUGACGUGCUAUAUCACUGUAUGUAGCUUUUGGGAAAUUUCUCCUCGUUCGUGGGCGUCCGCCCCGUGGUUACCGGCAAGGGAAAGAUAUGAUUAGGAUUUCUAAAACUGUCACUCUUGUGAAAUAGUCAAAAUUGUCUAACUAUUACUUACCUAUAACUGUAAAGUAAAAUCGUUUAGGCAUAUAAAACAAAAUUAUUUUUUAAAAUAUUCACUCACGGAAUAUAUGUCCUGCUGUUAUACUAUUGGGUGCACUUUAGUCUUCUAUACUUAUAAUGAAUGAAAAAUAGGUUAUGGAACUAGGUAAGAAAUUUUUCAAUAAAGCUUACAAUACGAACUUGUCUUGUUUCAUUUUUUGAC
rnacentral:misc_RNA from 1 species